GGCGUGGUUGCUCCAUGGCGGGGCGCCGGUCUGUAAAACCGGUACUAGUGGGUUCGAUUCCCAUCCACGCCA
rnacentral:tRNA from 1 species